CCGAGCGGCGGGGCAUGCCGCGCCGGGGCGGCGGCCGGGCGGCGUGGAGCCCGUGCGCGGCGCAGGCCCCGGGUCGCUCUGCUGUUCCCUCACAGCUCCGGGUGUCGCCGCUCUCCAGCGCGCGCGUCAGCGCCCAGCCCGCCUCAGCUCCGCCGCCGCCGUCGCUGCUGCUGCUGCCGCUGCCGCCGCGCUGCUCCACUUCUACAGACUCGAUUCUUCGACAGCCUCGCACGGCGCCUGCGCGGGCCCCCUCCCCUAGCGCGCGCCCGCUUUCCCUCCCCCGCGCGCGCCCGCCCCUCCCCCACGCGGAGGCCGGGCGUUGCUGGGAGAGCUGGCCUGGCGCGGUCCGCGUCUCCGCUGAAGGCGCUGCGAGUGUGCUGUUCUCUUCAGCCACCCAGCGACCUCGAGUAUUCUCGCAGGCAGGACUCCCUCCCCUCCGGGUCUGUUUGGGUAAAAUCGUGCUAAAACUCGUGCUUUUAGCAGCGAGGCCACUUUAUGACUUGGCUCUGUCAGUGCUGUCUGGAGGAUGGGGACUCUCCGUGCAGCGUGGCCCACAGGGCUUUAGGAGUUCCACUUGGACUGUUCAGUCGUGCUUUACACUCGCAUGUGUCUUGGGAGGGACACGCGCUGCUAGAACCCUUAAGUUUUCCUGAUGCAGGACUGACCGUUCCCAAGCCUAGGACCUUCCGGAAGGCGGGGGGGCGCGGUGCAGCGAGCUGCCAGCCCCGUCCCCUCUUCACUGACCCGGGUCCUCGGCGCCAGCGCCCGGCCACUUAUGUAGGUCCGCGGCGGGCGCGUGACGUGGGCGCGGGGCUGGGGUCCGCGUGCGCCGUCGCCGAGUGCGCACACUCCGCGCGGACGUGACUCGGCGCCGCUGGCGCUGGCGAACUCAUUGAGCGAACGCACAUUCCAGGGAUCCGGGUCUGCGGCCAGCGCGCCGCGUCAACGCGCAGACCCCGCCCCCGGGAGGCUCUGCGCCUCGAGGCCCCGCCCCCGCGCCCAGCGUGUACUCGAGGUGGUGCGGCGCGGGCUGUGGGGUGAGUGGCUGGCAAGCCCAGGCCGCUUGCGGGCGUCCCCGCGCUCCCGGGGGCGGAGCGGAGGGCGCUCACCGCACGACCUGGGCCAGGCUCAGCCCGGGUGGGGGCGUACGCGCCUAGCGCGAACAGCCGACCCGCCGCGGCCCGCCACGGUUGGCAGCCGCUGCUCUGCCCGAGCUGAACUAAGCACUUGAGUUUCACACUUGCAUCGGGAGGAGGAGCUGGUGUGUGUUAUGGUAAAUCACUUUUGUCUGGUCGUUAGUCUCACCGACUAAUAGACGUGGGCUUAUCACUCUCAGUCGGAACUUUGACACUUCAACUCUGUAAGGGCGGCCUCUGAUGCUGCUCUUGUUGAAAAACAGGCCCACAUGGCUCCCUGAGACUGGAAUGAGCUGGUUACGUGUGGGAAGAACAAGAAACUGAAAACCUAAGGUAGUAAACGACUAAAUGAUUUGCCUACAGUAACACUAAAGUCUUACGUAUAAAGGAGACACAGCUUCCUGCAGGAGGGGAAAAGGAAGGAAAGUUAAAAAGACUAAUUGUGGACUGUAAUUUAUUAAUUGGAGUGAAUGGCUGGGUUCAUUGGCUCAUCCGUUCCAGUGCCCACAUGGUAAUACUUCUUUGCCAAGGGGAGUGCAAAACCAUUGAUAGAAUUAAGAUUCACACUAAGUACAUGGGAGCAGACAGCCUGAGUCUGAGUUCUAGCAAAAGACCACUCGUGGACAGAAAUAGAGAAAUUGAUUUCCUAAAAUGACUGCCGGAGUACAGUGUGUUUACUGAAAAGCUUGUCACAGACAGCUAAAAUCCAAAGACAAAUGAACUUUGACAGACUUGUUGGCAAGCUGGCUCAGCCCUUCAAGCAAAUUCCUGAGUGAGGAAGUUUGUUCUCAAACAUGCCUGGGGACUAUACACAUUGAACUUCCUGGGGGCCAUUAUCUCUUAGCAUUUAAGAGAUAGCUAAAUUUUAAACAUUUUUCAGACUGCUUUUAUUCUUUCUAUCUCUCUAAUUUGCAUUAUCAGACCAAUUCAUUAUUCUUAGCAGGAACUGACAACAUCUACGUCUCUAUGAAUUUGGUAAACUGAGGCGCCACGACAGUAAGGACUUUGCCUUGAGACAGAAAAUGUGCAGUUAAACGACAGCUAGAAUUUGGGUUUCCCAGACUGCAGUUCUUUCUUUAGCCCACUGGUGGGCUACCUCCUAUUUCUGUUUUCUUCACAGGUUCUUUUUUACAUACAUGUAAAUAUCUGUGCAGGAGAUAGCUGAGGUCCUUCAUGCACCUGGCAUGGGACCUGAGGCAGAUCACGUGGGCACAAUGGGCCUGUGUUCUUGAGUGGACGAGGGGAUGCUAAGCUUGAAACCAUUUCUGCUCUGACCUUUCGUGGGGACAAAGGGCGUCCAGGAGAAUCUGAUAAUUCCAACCCAACAUUCUUCUGACACAUAAGGUAUCAUAAGACAAUGCAGGGAAAAACCAUGCAAAAAAAUAACCAGUAACUGCCUGCCCAUUAUUUUGGGGCAUCAUGCCAUCCAAAUAAAGUUGUGAGGUUAAAUGGCUACCAGAGCAUCCCAUCAUCCAAAAGCAUUGUGUCUGCUGGGUUUGGGCUCAGAUCCCAGGCCAGGAGCGUCUAAACCACGGUCUAUACUUAAAGUUAGCCAGGGCAGAAACAGCUGUAUCAGCAUUAAUAUGCCAAACUAAAGUGUUUCAAGGCUUAUGGAAAAUAUUUCUUUCCACAAGAGACCACCUUAUUUUAGAUAUAAAUGUGUGGCAAAGAUUCAGUAUAUUAUGCACAGGCUUUUCGGGUUACUCAAGAGGGCCCCCGUUGAAGAAAAACAACAACAGUUCCAUACACUGACAAGCAUUUGGCUGAAUAGGUCAGCAGGAUGUGGAAACUUGUUUUGAGGUUUUUUGGUAUUCUCACCCAGGAUUCCACUGCUUAAUAGCUGUGUGGCUUCUUCGCUGGCUAUAUACUGAAUUUAUAAAGGAUGUUAUGAGAGUAAGUUCUAGGAAUUCUGAUGUUUUGAAAUUUGUGACUUGGUUAACUAUAGUGAAAUGUUACAUUCAUAACCUUUUAUGUGACUUGUUAAUUUGGGUCUGAUUAUGAAAAAUCUUAAGGAAGUUUCUUAAAUUCUAUGUUUUUCAAAAAUGGUGGUGGGAAGCACUAAUGUGUAAUGUUUCAUUCCGACUAUUCUUAAACACACAAAAAAGAGCCAUAUUCUUUACUUUUCAUCCAAACGUUAUUCAAUAUAUUUUAAAACGAGUGUUCCAGAACCAGACUUCCAGAUUCCUUGACUUCAGAGGGUGGAAAAAGAUAGGCAGCCCCUUUUAGCUGUAACAGGAGACAUUCUUUUAAAAGCCUGGAAUGCUGAAGCCCUCUUAGACUGAAAACAUGUCAGGACAUGCCUUUUUGGGAUGCUGUCAAGUGGUUUAGGCUCAGAAGUCUACAUUCCAUACUUUUGAAAUUGUUUUCUGUUGGCAGACGACCUCUUGAUUAUUUUCAUGUGGUGGGUGUUCAGGCCAACCUCUCCUGUUCCAAGUGACUAAAAAGAAAAAACAAGACCCGCACUCUGCGAAGUGUCCACAUUUCAGCAUAAAGUUAUGGGUUGUGUGAGUGCUGGGUCAAGUUUGUGAGCCUUGUCCCAGUUCAGAAUGGAAGUUAGUGCAAAACCAGACACACGUUACCUAGAAUGCUUCAUUCUCAGCGCUCUUGCUUCUUAAUAGUGUCACCACGCUAAGGAUAUAAGUUAGAAACAAGCCAGCUAUCCCACAUCACAGAGCCUCUGUUUUUCGGAAGUUCUGAUUCAUGGUUGGAGCACUGCACCAAGUUAGUAUACUGGCUCGUAUGGGACUGGUUAGAUUAACAGUAAAUGUUCUGCCCCCCCGGCCCCCACCCUCAGAGCUCGUUUCACAGGCCCCACUAUCUGUGAGUCCCAAACAAAGGUAGCCGACUUAAAAUUCUGCCAACAUCUACCUUAUUAGGGCCCACGUUAGCAGAUGUUUCGGUAUUUCUUGAACACCAGCAGGAUUCUGAACAUGCCCUGAAACAGAGAGGCAUGAUCUUGGGUAAUGGUUAAAAAUGAAAGGUCUCAGUGGCUGGCUGGCUGGCUCAGUUGGUUAGAGCGUGGUGCUACCAUAAUAACACCAAGGUUGCCGGUUCAGUCCCCGCAUGGGCCGCUGUGAGCUGCGCCCUCCUUAAAAAAACAAAAAAACCCCAAAAACCCACAACAAGAAAGGUCUCAUCUCAUUUCACUUUGUGGGAAUUACUUUUUUACUUGUCUGUUUUAUUGGGAAAUUUCCCAGAGACUUCUAUGCAACGAGAAACUAUCCUGGAAGAAAACAAACAGGACAGGCAUAACAGAGUUAGAGUUCUUUUAAAAUAUUUCAUUUUGCAGACCAAGAAUACAACUUGUAAAUCUUUUUUAUGCUUCUAUUAUGGUACAUAAAUUAUGAUGUUUUAGGAGAAGCCAGGAAAGCCAACAUAGGGAAGAAAGUCACUUUCUUUCAGCUUUCCAUAGGUAGUAUAAUUUAAAUAAUUCCAUGGUAGCAUUUCAACACCUCCAAUUGAACACUGUUGUUUACGAAGUAAGAACAGUAAUCCUCGUGUAAAAGGUAGUAUUGCUACCCUGAACAGCAGAUGGUGUUAUUAAAUACACAGGCAAAGUCUAAGGUCAUAAGGAACUAACAAUUAACCAGAAAUACGAUCUGUCACAGUUGUUUAAUGGGUAACCUUGCAGAUAUAUGCCACUUGUAUUAUCGUGAGUGUUGGGAGGUAUAUUGUCAAGCUCAGAGCAGUUACAAGUCGGCUUAGAAAUGUUGUAAUUAUAUUCUUGUUUAAGCAUUUAGUGAGACCAGAAAGAAAGUGGAAAUCAGUGUGAUUUCCUCAUAAUACUGCUUUCUGUUGCCUACUUUGAAAAAUACCGAUUCAGACUGCACAAUUUCAUAGCUAUCUCUGAAUAUAAUUGAUCUCCCCCAAACUAAUCCUGUCAAAAUUUGGGAUUUUAGACUGCUAGUGUGAGUCGUUCUAAGACUUCUCUGCGUUAUCGUAGGCAUCACUGUUGCCCCUGCAGAUUUUGUAGCGUGAAGAUGAUGAGAGAAGAUUUGGGCAUACACCACAGCAAACCGGGAACAGCUAAUGGUAGUGAGUUGGGAGGAGGUGGAGGGAAGAUAAUUGUCACCGACUUCCCAGUCAGUAACAGGGGCACUAUUAAAAUCGGGAAGUGGGCUCAGUUUUGACUAUAAAUCAAAUACAAAUAGGUCAGUAAGGUAAGAGGGAAAAUGAUCCACAGGGCAGCCCCCAAGUCUGAAUGACAAAGAACAGGGUUACAAUUUGGAAGCGUGAAUCUUGGUCCAUUGGCAAGAACUCCAAAAUGUAUGGGGAGUUGUGAUUCCAGCCGUAGUAUCAACCAAUCCGAAAAACAGCACCUGGGAAAGCUAAAACACCCUGGUGCCCCCGGUUAAUAGAAGAUGAACAAUGGAAACAAUUUUCGGAGGUCACUAGCUAAUCAGAGUAAAGAAGUGGGUGGAUUCCAGUCUGGACAAAAACUGUUGUUAAAUUUCCCUGCUGUUGGAUGUGGUGAGGAAGUGUGAAUCACAGAAAAUAUGUGCUCGUAAGAAUCUUCUUACACAGUUUCACACGUUUAAGUAUGUUUAUUUACAUUUCUCCAAAUUUAAAGUAUUAGGGAACGAAAGCACAGCCUCUGAAGGCAGGGACUCCCAAUUUGAGACCUUCAUCCACAAGCUCAGACAGUUUGAUUUUCCAUGUGGCCAAGACUCCUGCUGGAACUUCCAGCAGUCCUCAGAAAAGCCAGUGAGAUACCCUUGGGCUGAAUGAAUGAGAACUUUCUGGAGAGCAGAAGACUGGUGGAGGUCCAGCUGGAAAAACAUAUGGCAGCAGAGACAGAAAGAGUGUUUCAUGACCAGGAACUUUAUAAAAAAUCUCUGCAGGCUCAAGGCAGCCAUUCCAACCUAAGGUCUUCCUAAGCAUGAUGGAUGUUCUUCCUUCCAGGACUGCCUCCAAUUCAUCUGGACCGCAGCCACCUCGGCAUCCUCAGGCGCCCCUUGGGACAGUGCCUGCAGAAGAACAAGAGUCGCACCACAUCCCACCUCCAAGGCCAGGAGGCCAUGCCUGCCCCACCCCCAACUGAGCCAGGAGAUGGCAGCUUAUUGUGUUGUCCUGAAAAAAACUAAGCUCGCAAAUCUCUGUAGACAGUGUUUUAUAAUAGAUCAUACGGUCACCCUUUCAACUUCUCUGAUGGAUGUUUCACCACCAUUUUCCUUAAGCUGUGGCAAUAGCAGAAGUAGCAAUCACUGUAGUCACAAACAUCAGGGCCUAACUUUAUUAGCCAAUCAUUAUGACAAUUACCUUCCGGUUUUCUCUGUCAAAGUGAGUACACACAUUUCCAAGGCAUUUAUUUUCAUUACUGGACAGAGAAUGGCCAAUAGGUCAGUUACAUACACUCCAUGCUGAUAAAGCAAUGUUAUUAACGUCUGGUAAAAAAGAAGCAAAUUUAUAAGCCCUUUAUACUUGGGUUGUGUUUUUCCUCUUAGGAACACAAAGCAGAAACCAAGAUGACUAGUGUGUGUAUGCAUACAUUAUUACUAUAUUAUAUAUAAUAAUGUAUUCCAUAUAUUCAUAAGUAUGUAUUUAUAUAUUUAAAAUAGUGUCAGGUAGUAUGUUACUCAUUUAGAAAGAGCUUUUCAUCCAUCUGGUCAAAGAGGGGAGUGUAUCCAAGACCACCUGGGCCUAACGGGAAGAAGCUUUGAAACCCGGCAUUUUCUAAAUGAUCAGAUAGAGAAAACGAAGUCACCUUUUCUCGAUUUACUCUUUGAGGGGCACCAGGAGUGCAGACAUAGAUCUGGGCUGGGAUCUCACUGUUUGUCUUUUGAACGGGGUCCCAGCUUCCCUUGGGCUGUCCAGCUCUAUUCCACAUGGUUCCAGGAGCUCCGAAUCACUAUGCACAGACCCUCCGAGGUAUAAGGCCUGGGAACGUAAGCCAUGCUCUGUGAUGGGGGCCAAUCCCGCCUCUGCUGCCAUUGUACUGUGCAAACACAAGCAAUCGCUUCUCGGUGCUUCAUUCACUUACCUCUCUCUGUAAAUUGAUAGAAUGACAACAACAAAACCAAGUGCCGAAUGCCCAAAGCCAAGUGCCAGGUUUACUAAUAUGUCCAGAGACCACUCAGCGGGGGUAAGUCUCCCCAGCGAUUAAGAGUGCAGGGCCUGGAAACAGAGCGCUCUGGUUCUUAUUCCGGUUCUGCAACUUUAAUCAGCUGUGUGAUCCUAGGCAAGGUACUUAAACUUCUGUGCCUCAAUUUUCAUAUCUGUGAAGAAUGGGUGUAAAAACAGUACUUACUGCAGGGAUUGACAGGAGGGUUAAAUGACAUGUAAAGUGCUUGAACACUGUCGGGCACACAGCAAGCCCUCCAUUAACACUGGCCUUUGUUAUGUUGGGCAUAUCCAGACCAGGCUGAAGCAGCCGCUUGUCCUAAAACCAACCAGAUCAUCUACCUCCCUUGGCCAGACUUCAGCAUCUUACCUUAGGGACAACCCCUGCUGCGAAGCAUCCCUCCACACCCACCACUGCAGGAAGUCCCUACCUCCAAAGCUGCCAAUGACCAUUUUGACCACGUUGGGGAGACGUAACUCUUGUUCUUCCUGAGUCAUCUGCCACUUUUGAUAGCACUCCUUGGGUUCUUUUUCUCACUUUGGCUCCUAAGGACAUUUCCUGUACCUACUGAACAUAAACAAGUCAAGAACUUAACACGUCUCUAUGUGCGUUUUAUCUGUUUGCCCC